rnacentral:misc_RNA from 1 species
UAAAUUUGCAACUUCCAUAAUCCUAUACCCUAAAUUAAAAGUUCAUUCUUUCUUCUUCCUUCUUCAAAGCAGCUAUUAUCAUGAGGUUGAUGAUUUUUCCUUCCCCUUCACGAGUUUGAUGCAUAGCACAUUGCAUCAUUAUCUGCAUUUUGCUCUGCCAAGUUUGCAUUCAAUCAAGAUAGGAGGAUUGCCUCCUUCAAUAGUGUGCCAUAUGUGAUCCCAUCAACGCCACAACUUUCCGGCUUCAACAUCUCACAAAAAUAUUCGAAGAACUGAAUUAAUAUCGUAGCAGUAAACACAGGCCUCCAUCACCGCAUUCAUAACAAUUGGGUUCAGCUUGGCAUAUCGUCUCUUGGCAACAUCAAUUUUUGUUGGAGCUAUCUUCCACGAAUGAGUUGAACGAUGCUGGAGGUAAGUCGCUUGAGAUUAGAGUGUCUGUGAGGAGGAAUCUUGAGCAUAUGAUGCCUUAUUGGACCGAAAAAAGAAGAAGAAUAGAAUGAAAUAUUGAGAGAGGGUUAUGGUUUUGAUUUCAGGGGCUAGAGAGCUUAGAUUUGAUACAUCGUUGGUGAUGGAGGAGGAUGAAGAAAGUGCAGGAAGAAAU